UACGAAGGGGGCUAGCGUUGUUCGGAUUUACUGGGCGUAAAGCGCGUGUAGGCGGACUGGAAAGUUGGGGGUGAAAUCCCGAGGCUCAACCUCGGAACUGCCUCCAAAACUUCCAGUCUGGACUCAAGUAGAGGCAAGUGGAAUUGCGAGUGUAGAGGUGAAAUUCGUAGAUAUUCGCAGGAACACCAGUGGCGAAGGCGACUUGCUGGACUUGUAGUGACGCUGAGACGCGAAAGCGUGGGGAGCAAAC
rnacentral:rRNA from 1 species